rnacentral:rRNA from 1 species
GCCUACGGCCAUACCACCCUGAGAAUGCCUGAUCUCGUCUGAUCUCGGAAGCUAAGCAGGGUCGGGCCUGGUUAGUACUUGGAUGGGAGACCGCCUGGGAAUACCACGUGCUGUAAGCU